rnacentral:rRNA from 1 species
GACGACGCUGGCGGCGUGCUUAACACAUGCAAGUCGAACGGGACACUUAUUUCGGUAAGGUGUCAAGUGGCGAACGGGUGAGUAACACGUGGGCAACCUGCCCUUCAGACGGGGACAACAUUCCGAAAGGAGUGCUAAUACCGGAUACGCCCGCACCUACGCAUGUAGGUGCGGGGAAAGGAUGGCCUCUAUUUAUAAGCUAUCGCUGAAGGAUGGGCCUGCGUCCGAUUAGUUAGUUGGUGAGGUAACGGCCCACCAAGACGAUGAUCGGUAGCCGGUCUGAGAGGAUGAACGGCCACAUUGGGACUGAGACACGGCCCAGACUCCUACGGGAGGCAGCAGUGGGGAAUCUUCCACAAUGGACGAAAGUCUGAUGGAGCAACGCCGCGUGAGCGAUGAAGGAUUUCGGUCUGUAAAACUCUGUUGUUCAUGACGAACGUUUCCUGGGUUAAUAAUCCAGGAGAGUGACGGUAGUGAACGAGGAAGCCACGGCUAACUACGUG